rnacentral:lncRNA from 1 species
AGCAUCCCCUUUGCAAGAUUGCAUAAAAGAGGGAGCAACAGAGUAUAAACAUAUAUCAUGACUAAAACAUACUAAGUAUUAUUACUCGGCCAGCAAGGAAAGAUAAACAUACGACCUGAACUGAAUUAACCAGUGCGCACGACCAUAUAAAAAAAAUAAACAAACUUCCUUUGACAAAAAGUUUCUAAUUAAAUCAUGGCUGCGCCUGGGCAGCGUUAUUGUGAGAGUGAAAGUGGACGUGCUGCUACUCCCCUCAUUCCCAACAUGUAUCAAGUACCUGCAUUGAGUAAUGCAAGAGUGAGAUGACACAUCUCAGCAAGUAAAAUAAUAUCAAACAGUUUAACCACAUAAGAACAUUGUUUUACCACCACUUGAUUCCACAACCUUCUUAUUACGAAGGUGCAGCACGUAUACAACGUACAACGCACCUAGUUACCACACCUCGCAGGUAGAAACCACAAUAGUAACAUAGUAAUGUCACACUUCAUAUAUUUCCUCAUGAGUGCAAAUGUCUGCAAAUGCAAGGAUGACUUCUGCCUUCAUACCUCUAAGGAUAUGAAGCCGCAUCGUACCCCUCCUCGGGCAACGUACGAUGCUAAAAAUGUACCGGUACGGUCGGACCAUAAGAUCACGACAUCACUUCAAAAUGCAAGAUGGAUGAUGCGAUGUGCAUGUCAUGCCUACAACACUUCAUAUAACAUGAUUCAAAAAGACACUUCAACUUCAUCCAGAUGGGAAUCAACCACAUAUAUCAUUACCAAAUUAUGAUCAUCCACAAUAUUAGACAAUUGAGAAUUAAUACUUCCAAACAAAUAAACUUCAUCAUAGAAUUCAAUGAUUAACAUAAUUAAAACUUAUGCAUACUCAAUGACAGGGAAUAGGAUGCAAACCAAACGGUAGCAACCACCACUGUAUUUACUUGCCUUUACCGGAAGUUCGGGCAAAUCCCUAAGUACGAUCCGGAAGUCCACCACCUGCUUUUCACACCCAGCUUAGUACACCAAUUUCACAUAAUCAGGCCCAUAAGCGACGCCGCACCUACGCACAACUCAAACCCCGCCGCGGGUUACAUCUCUCCCUACACCCACCAAACUGCAGCGGCGCUGCUUAAUAAUUUCAUAACUUUAAAAUUAUGACAGCAGUGGUAACAAACAAAAACUCCAGAGGCAUCUACAUAAAAUUCCCCACAAGUUUUGUAUACAAUUUAUAAUUAAAUUCCAAUAUCUAAUUAGCCCAAAACAGUCCACAAGAUGAACCCUGUAAUCUGUUUUUCUUUGUCUUUUAGACAGCGACAUACCCAGAUUCAAACAGCGAUAUCUUUUAAAAUAUAAUUCCAAAUCAAGCGCAUAAGUACUCAUUGGAAAGAUAAGACAAAUCCCUACAUGAUUACCAUACUGGUUAACACUAAUUACCCACGAAAAAUUCCCAGAAACUGCUAAUACCACUGCUGUUCACCCACCUGAAAAAUCUGUUUUUUUUGGACAGCAACAUAACCGGAUUCAAACAACGAUAUCUCCUGAAUUAUAACUCCGAAUCGAGCGCAUAAGUACUUGUUGGAAAGAUAACAUAAAGCCCUACAUGAUUCUCAUACUGAUUAACACUAAUUACUCCCGAAAAAUCCCCAGAAACUGCUAAUACUGCUGCUGUUCAUCCCCCUGAAAAUCUGUUUCUUUGGACAGCCACAUACCCGGAUUCAAACGGUGAUAACUUUCAAUUUAUAACUCCAAAUUGAGCGCAUAAAUACUCGUUGGAAAGGUAAGGUAAAGUUCUACAUGAUCCCCAAACUGAUUUCCCUUAAUUCCUCACGAAAAAAACACAGAAACUGCUAGACUACUGCUGUUCACCCACCACCUAAAAUUCUGGACAGCCCCCCUCUACCCAAUCGCAAACGCAACCUCUAAUCAAUUAAAUUGCAGCGCAAAUGAACAAGGGAUGAACACAAAAAUCACCUUGGAUUCUCCCCCUUUCCUUCCUCCCUUCUUCCCUCCACCAAAACGAUUGAAGACUCGCACCACGACGACGAUGAUCCGAGCGGCAAGGAUUGUCACCUUGGGAGGAGGGGAUUGGGGGGGGGGGGCUAGGGUUUGGUGGCUGCAAGAAUGGAGAGAGGAGGAGAUAGGCAGGGGGGCGGCGGCCAAGGGGGGAGAGAAGUGGGGGGGCGGCUGCACAUGGGGGGAGGGGGUUAGGAGGGAGGCGGCUAGGGUUUGGGAGGGUUAAUGGGCCGAAACUCCAAUUGCGGCCCAACUAACCCACGCGACAGCUCCCGACCGCAACGCAAGCGUCAAAUCAAAUAAAUUCUACUGCCCUAGUUGUGAAUGUUUUCCACAAAAUCCCAAAUCCCCAAAACAACAACCGGAUGAGGAAAAAAACAAAAAGAACAACCCCCAACUUCUCUUCUUUGCAAAUCGGGUAUCACACUCUACCCCUCUUAAAAAGAAUUCGACCUCGAAUUCUGACGCUUCUAUCGGAACAACAAAAGAAAGGUUAAUGAAUCAACAAAACUCACACAUAAAGAAAAGUUCGAGUACUUCUGCCGCAUCAGCUCCUCAAGCUCCUAGGAUUCUAAGAUACGCAGCAGACGACACUCUAGAGUCUGCUCUUGCUACACAGGAAUCGGCUCUAGCUCGAUUUGAUGGUCUGGAUUCCGCAAAUACUUCCUCAACAAAAAGACAUGGAAUACUUGGUGUACUCUGAUCACAGAUUCCGACAAUUACAUGUGCUAAGCCCAGCUGCCAACUCGGCCAAGAUAGCAGACGGUCCUAUAUACCUCGGACCAAGCUUUCCUGACACCAAAUCAAUCAUUGACAUAUGCAAGUACUUCAAGGAAUGUAUAUAUGAAUGCAAGGCAUAUAAUGUUCCUAUAGGCUAAACCAAACUUAGCCACACAAGAGCAACUUCAAGAGAGCAACUUAAUGCUUGCAUAUUUCUAGAUAGCAGCACAACGGUUAAUUGUUUUGCUCCUAAGUCACAAAAAUAUGCAUCGAAAAUUAGUAAACUAGGACUUUAUGGAAAACUUAUAAAGUCCACUAUACCCUUGGUAUUAUCAUCACAACAAGAUUUGACACUUAGAAAGGUCAAACAGUGCUAAACGUAAAUUCUGUCCAGACUUGGACAUAAUUCAACUACUCAAUUCAAAAAUCCAUAAUUGGAGUCUCAAUCAUCCAAUUUAGGAGCUCCCAGACUUUUUAGAAAGCUAGUAGAAUUGUCUAUAAUUCAUUUAUAAACAUAUCAAGUUAAUUCAAUGCAUAUUAAGGUCAAAAGACACGAGAAAGGCUCUGCUGUCCAAAUUUGGACAGAUUCAGAGAUCACACUUAAAACAGCUGUAACUUAACUUAUAGAUCUCCAAAAAAAAUUAAUCCAAAAUUUGUUGUAACGAUUAAGAAAAGUACUACAACUUAUUUAUAAUUUAUAAAUAGUUAUUCGAAGUUUAAAUUGGGCAAACCAAGGUCAGCUUCGAAAUCUGUAUAGAAUCUGCACAGAUUUCAAGACUAGACUUGAGAAAAUCAUAACUCCCAAACUACUAGACCUAUGGUCAUGAAAUUUUUACACAAGUAAGAUAAAGAAGUUGGCUACAACUUUUAUAAAUAACAUCUCUCCAGAAAAGAUGGUUUACUUCACUGAACUAGCUGCAUAACUAAAAUUGGUCAUGCAGUCCCAAUAGCAAGCAAUAGAUUUUAUCAGGUUCAUUACUCUUCUAAGAUUAAGCGUUCAUUGAAAGACUAAUAACUUUAGGUUCUUCAUUACGAGACACCUAGAACAAAUAUAAGUAUAGAAGCAAUAUGAUAACCUUUUAAAUCAUUUAAGCCUAAUCUCACAUCAUGCAAACAAGAAUCAAUUUAAGCAUGUUAUGUCUGCCCACAUAUUCAUCCAAGCACAUUCUAUACAUGAUAUCAUAACUCCCUGUAGCUAACAAAAUUUUGCAAAUAUAAACUCACUAAAAAGAUUAUAACAUUCCCUAGAACUUUUAUUAUAAUGAGUGUCUCGGAAUUGGUUUCCAAACCGAUAAAACAAUGCAACUCUUUUGUUUCAAAACUGAUAAGAUUGAAACAAUGGACAACUAAAAUUCAAAAACCUAUAACUCCUGCUAUACUCAACUUAAACUACAACGAACACGCGUUGGAAAAGUUUUGAAAAUUGUCCACGACUUUUGCAAUAAAGUUGCACCCAAAUUUAUCCUUAUAGCCCACAACUUUGCAUGACCUACAGCUAAACUCAUCCUGAGAUACUGCACAUUAGAGAUUCGACUUAUAUCCGGGCAACCACCUCUCCAAAUCUAUUUAACAGACAGUUACAAGUAAAUACCCAUUAAAAGGGUACUGAAAAUACCUACAAGUUUUGCUUAAAGAGAAUUCGCAAAUUUGUGCUCUGCAACUAUCAAAACGCGGUCGAUUUAUUGGUGAUUAUAACGACGCCUAAAGUUCAGACACAACAGUGCAACAACUUCAGAGCAACCUAACUCCAAUUAUAUGCAAUGAGAAUUAGAAACCCAUACUCUUUGAAAAGAUCAUGAAAUUACUAAAACUUUCAUAAUCCACAAAGACCAAAUUAUACCGUCUUCAAUGUCUACUCUUCCGUACAAAAUUAAAGACUCACUCUGCUAGAGACACCAACAAAGAUGUUUUAAGAAACCCAUAUCUCUCAAAUGUUUAGACCAAACAUGGUGAUUAAGCAUCCUAUGGAAAGAUGCAGAAACAUACUACAAAACAUUCUAGAUAAGUGAAGCAUGAUUCAGCCUCCAACUAAUUUAAAAUGCCUCCCGAAACCAAACAACACAUUAUCAACAAUAAUAAAAAACAAUAUAAAAUGAAACCCAAGUCAAUGGCAGGUGCCAUCAACACUAGGAUUUUCCACUACCAAACUGGGAUGCAACUCCACAAAGUCUUUAAAUAACACUCUACCAAAUAGGUUAGAACACUAAGCACAACAAUCAAUGAAUUCAACAACCUCGUUUGUUAAUGCCACUAAGGUCAAACAUCCAUGUACCGACAAUGUAUGAAACACCUGACAUACCCGUCUCUAGCUCUAUAAAACAUGGUUGUUAUUACACAAGAAUCCAACUACUAGAAGUCUCCAAAACUAUUCUGUUGACGUGAAGCAAAUGGUGCUCAUGUCAUAUAACAUCUUUUCCCCCUCUCAAAAGAGAUAAAAUUUGCAAUACUCAUAAAGCAAUGGAGGGAUAACAACAAGAAAAACCUAAUGUACUUCUUGACACAGACUCAUGCAAAAGCUUCAUAAAUAUUACUUUCAACACUAAAAUAAUAACACGAUACUAUGCUCAACAGGAGUAAUUGGACUUCAAUAAGAUAAUCCACCUAACCCAACUACUUUGAUUAACCUCACAUACAACAAUACCUCCUAUUAUUGCACUUGAACAAUUUGUACCUAGUGAUGUCAUAGGAUGAAUUCAAUGUAGUAGACAUACAUGAUCUAUCAAACCAUCAUUCAUAUAAUAAAAAUCUCCAUCUAAUGCAACAGCCACAUCAUUAUAGAGGUAGAUGACUAACAAACAUAAGCAACUUCCAGUUAAACAUUGACUUUGUUUAAGAUAAAGCGGUCCAAAUAAUAAUUCCACAAGCAUGCAUAGAGAACUGAUCAUAUAAAAAAAACUACCAUGUAUCAUCGGCGAUUAAAAACAAUAUAAAACGGGUUGUCCAUAUCGUCCGCACGACUAGCCUCCAACAAAUAAAAAUUAUGCAUAACCUUUUUGCUAUAGAAACAAACCAUAGAAGGAAAAUAUGCAUGCCUCUUCAACUAUAAUAUAGACAUAAAAUCCACUUGAAAUCACCCUAUUUAUUAUUAAAGAUAAGGUUGCACACAAUAAGAAAACCUAUCAUGUAAACAUGGUUGGACUUAUCUACCCACGUCAUCUUGCAAAUUCACUUGAGUUCUUCUAGUCUCAAGAUUUCAUAGACAGUACAACAUUGCCUUUGCUCUAUGGAGACAAACCUAUUGUACUCUAAGAUCAAGUUGGCAAGUAGCCACACUAGCCAAAAAAAAAGGUGAGGUGUAAAGCACUGCACCCAUGGAAAUAUUACAUUGAUAAGUUGGGUUGUAACCCAACAGUCAAUCAAACUCAACAACACCAUAAAACUUCAUUGUAUAGUGUUUUCACACUACACCAAGUCGGAUUAGAUCCUCUAUACACAAGCUCAAUAAACAAUCGGUCCUACAAGUACUAGAACCCAAGAAUCCUUUUGGGAAAAAAACAUCCACAGUCAAGCAUAUAGAAAUAUAUGAUGGUAAUAGCUCAGAGAUUAGUAAACAUUGCAUCCCAAACAACAUCAUGACGAUAUGUACAUAAAACAAGUACAUUAGUAGCUUCACUUGCAUAAUAAUUUCAAUAACAACCACAUAAAGAAACCAAUAUUAAAUAGAAGUAACAUUUCAUAUCAAGCAUUACGUCGUUAACGACAUACCUCAUCAAACCAUAAAGGGGUUUGGAGUAAGGAAAUUCUAGUCAUCUAUACAAUAAAAUACUAAUAUGAAAGAUAUAUGAACCCAUACCCUUCCUAUAUGUGCAAGUGUGUCAAAUUUAUCUUCAAAUUGCGUAGAAUCUAAAGCCUAUCCUCUGAUACCAACUGUAACACUCCAUGGUUCCACAAACAACCCGGAAUGCUACUGUACUACACUUCCGACGUCCAUAUAUAAAAUUUCGGCAGCAUCCCCUUUGCAAGAUUGCAUAAAAGAGGGAGCAACAGAGUAUAAACAUAUAUCAUGACUAAAACAUACUAAGUAUUAUUACUCGGCCAGCAAGGAAAGAUAAACAUACGACCUGAACUGAAUUAACCAGUGCGCACGACCAUAUAAAAAAAAUAAACAAACUUCCUUUGACAAAAAGUUUCUAAUUAAAUCAUGGCUGCGCCUGGGCAGCGUUAUUGUGAGAGUGAAAGUGGACGUGCUGCUACUCCCCUCAUUCCCAACAUGUAUCAAGUACCUGCAU